rnacentral:rRNA from 1 species
GAUGAACGCUGGCGGCGUGCCUAAUACAUGCAAGUCGAGCGAACGGACGUGAAUCUUGCUUCUCUGAUGUUAGCGUCGGACGGGUGAGUAACACGUGGAUAACCUACCUAUAAGACUGGGAUAACUUCUGGAAACCGGAGCUAAUACCUGAUAAUCUUUUGAACCGCAUGGUUCAAAAGUUAAAGACGGUCUUUCUGUCACUUAUAGAUGGAUCCGCGCUGCAUUAGCUAGUUGGUAAGGUAACGGCUUACCAAGGCAACGAUGCAUAGCCGACCUGAGAGGGUGAUCGGACACACUGGAACUGAGACACGGUCCAGACUCCUACGGGAGGCAGCAGUAGGGAAUCUUCCGAAAUGGGCGAAAGCCUGACGGAGAAACGCCGCGUGAGUGAUGAAGGUCUUCGGAUCGGAAAACUCUGUUAUUAGGGAAGAACAUAUGUGUAAGUAACUGUGCACAUCUUGACGGUACCUAGUCAGAAAGCCACGGCUAACUACGUG